rnacentral:rRNA from 1 species
AUGGCAGACACCGACAGCAGCAGCAACCCGCCGCUCGCCGACUCUGACUUCCCGCCCUUCGACCGCGUCGAGCCCACUCACGACGGCGAGCUGGAGGAUCUCGAGAAGGGCGUGGAGCCGGCGUGGGAGUGCUUGGUCCACCCGCUUGAGCGCAUCGUCGACAUGCUUGACAUCGUCUGGAACGUCGUCGACCACAUCAAGGCCGUCAAGGACUCUCCCGACCUACGUGCCGCCGUCGAGGACGUCCAGGAGUAUUCUGCUUGCUUUGGUUGCCAAACCAAAAUACCAUGGCUGGGUGACGUCCGUCUAUCCUGGGUUACAUUAGCAUACUAG